UUAUGAACUACUAGCUUUGUUGCUUUCAUGUAAAUGAAGAUCUUCCUGAUAAUCCCCAAAUUUAAUUGAUCCGGUAUCUUACUUUCUAUAGAUAUUGGGAUUUCCAAAUUUGGGAGUCUAUCUGGUCACAAUCUAGAUCUUAUUUGACUUUUAUAAAGAGGCUUCAGAAACAAAACCAUACCCAUUACAGCUGGAUCUUUAAGGUAGUUUAAGGAUCUGCUUGACUUUUUUUUUUCUUGCUAUUCCAGAAUCAGGUGGACAACAGCACAUUCAACACCGCAGAACAAACAUUUCAUGGUCCUGGCAGGAGAGUCAGUUUUUCUACGGGUCUGCAGGAUCCAGACACUGGAGCCCAGUCCAAAGCAACAAUGAUCUCGAUAAUCUCAAUAACAGAGGUACCUUCUAGUGUUCGCCUUAAUCUUCCUCAUUAUUAUUGAGGUUUACAAUCUCUUCAUAUACUCUAUUAACAUUUGCAUCUAAAUUCUGAAUGUUUGUGUUAUUUCUUUCUGUUUGAUUUUAUUUUGUCUCUCAACAAAUUUGAACUGCUCUUAGUUAAGUUUUCAUGGAUGAUAUUUUGGCUGUUGUGGAAUCUUUCCAUUUAGCAAAUAGCCAUUUUUGAUGAAUAAUCUCUUUUCCUUUCUGGUAGUUCUUAAUAUCUCCAUAUUUUGUGUUCUGCUGCCUUGAAGAGUGUGGAAUUAUAUUUAUCUAUUAGUUGUGGAAUUCUUCGUG
rnacentral:lncRNA from 1 species